rnacentral:rRNA from 1 species
UACGGAGGGGGCUAGCGUUGUCGGAAUUACUGGGCGUAAAGCGCACGUAGGCGGCUUUGUAAGUUAGAGGUGAAAGCCCGGGGCUCAACUCCGGAAUUGCCUUUAAGACUGCAUCGCUAGAAUUGUGGAGAGGUAAGUGGAAUUCCGAGUGUAGAGGUGAAAUUCGUAGAUAUUCGGAAGAACACCAGUGGCGAAGGCGACUUACUGGACACAUAUUGACGCUGAGGUGCGAAAGCGUGGGGAGCAAACAGG